GUCUAUGGCCUGCCACCCUGAACAAGCCCAAUGUCUGAUCUCAGGAGCUAAGCAAGGUCAGGCCUGGUUAGUACUUGGAUGGGAGACCACCUAGGAAGACCAGGUGCUGUAGGCA
rfam:Pteropus alecto contig34716, whole genome shotgun sequence.